rnacentral:pre_miRNA from 1 species
UUGUAAUUUCAGAUUCCUCCACUUUUGAUCCAUCAUUUCACGUGCCAUGUAUGCAGAUUCUUUUGACGUGGUGAAAUGAGGGACCAAAAGUGGAAGAAUAUGAAAUUACAG